AAGCGAGCGGCGGAUGGGUGAGUAACACGUGGGGAACCUGCCCCUAAGUCUGGGAUACCAUUUGGAAACAGGUGCUAAUACCGGAUAAUAAAGCAGAUCGCAUGAUCAGCUUUUGAAAGGCGGCGUAAGCUGUCGCUAAGGGAUGGCCCCGCGGUGCAUUAGCUAGUUGGUAAGGUAACGGCUUACCAAGGCGACGAUGCAUAGCCGAGUUGAGAGACUGAUCGGCCACAUUGGGACUGAGACACGGCCCAAACUCCUACGGGAGGCAGCAGUAGGGAAUCUUCCACAAUGGACGCAAGUCUGAUGGAGCAACGCCGCGUGAGUGAAGAAGGUUUUCGGAUCGUAAAGCUCUGUUGUUGGUGAAGAAGGAUAGAGGUAGUAACUGGCCUUUAUUUGACGGUAAUCAACCAGAAAGUCACGGCUAACUACGUGCCAGCAGCCGCGGUAAUACGUAGGUGGCAAGCGUUGUCCGGGUUUAUUGGGCGUAAAGCGAGCGCAGGCGGAAAAAUAAGUCUAAUGUGAAAGCCCUCGGCUUAACCGAGGAACUGCAUCGGAAACUGUUUUUCUUGAGUGCAGAAGAGGAGAGUGGAACUCCAUGUGUAGCGGUGGAAUGCGUAGAUAUAUGGAAGAACACCAGUGGCGAAGGCGGCUCUCUGGUCUGCAACUGACGCUGAGGCUCGAAAGCAUGGGUAGCGAACAGGAUUAGAUACCCUGGUAGUCCAUGCCGUAAACGAUGAGUGCUAAGUGUUGGGAGGUUUCCGCCUCUCAGUGCUGCAGCUAACGCAUUAAGCACUCCGCCUGGGGAGUACGACCGCAAGGUUGAAACUCAAAGGAAUUGACGGGGGCCCGCACAA
rnacentral:rRNA from 1 species